AAAGAAACCAACAGGGAUUGCCCUAGUAACGGCGAGUGAAGCGGCAACAGCUCAAAUUUGAAAUCUGGCCCUCGGGUCCGAGUUGUAAUUUGUAGAGGAUGCUUUUGGUGAGGUACCUUCCGAGUUCCCUGGAACGGGACGCCAUAGAGGGUGAGAGCCCCGUCUGGUUGGAUACCGAUCCUCUGUAAAGCUCCUUCAACGAGUCGAGUAGUUUGGGAAUGCUGCUCUAAAUGGGAGGUAUAUGUCUUCUAAAGCUAAAUAUUGGCCAGAGACCGAUAGCGCACAAGUAGAGUGAUCGAAAGAUGAAAAGCACUUUGAAAAGAGAGUUAAAAAGUACGUGAAAUUGUUGAAAGGGAAGCGCUUAUGACCAGACUUGGACUUGGUUGAUCAUCCUGGGUUCUCCCUGGUGCACUCUUCCAGUUCAGGCCAGCAUCAGUUCAUCGCGGGGGAUAAAGGCUUUAGGAAUGUGGCUCCUUCGGGAGUGUUAUAACCUAUUGUGUAAUACCCUGCUUUGGACUGAGGUUCGCGCAUCUGCAAGGAUGCUGGCGUAAUGGUCAUCAGCGACCCGUCUUGAAACACGGACCAAGGAGUCGUCUUCGUAUGCGAGUGUUCGGGUGUUAAACCCCUACGCGUAAUGAAAGUGAACGCAGGUGAGAGCUUCGGCGCAUCAUCGACCGAUCCUGAUGUUCUCGGAUGGAUUUGAGUAAGAGCAUACGGGGCCGGACCCGAAAGAAGGUGAACUAUGCCUGUAUAGGGUGAAGCCAGAGGAAACUCUGGUGGAGGCUCGCAGCGGUUCUGACGUGCAAAUCGAUCGUCAAAUAUGGGCAUGGGGGCGAAAGACUAAUCGAACCUUCUAGUAGCUGGUUUCCGCCGAAGUUUCCCUCAGGA
rnacentral:rRNA from 1 species